UCUCAGUCUCAUUCCCCCGUCAGCAAGUAGGGUUCCAUUGCCGGCGAAGUCUUCGCUCCCCGCCAUGGAUGCACCCCUGCGAGAAGGGCGAGCAGCGGCUCGCCCCCAGGGCCGACGGUCGCCGCGCUCCUCGCCAUGGAGGCGCCCCUGCGAAGAGGGCGGGCAAAGGCUCACCCCCAGGGCCGACGAUCGCCGCUGAGAAGUGCCGACGGCUCGCUACUGCCAGGGAAUCGGAUCGGUCCCCCGCUCGGUCGCUGAGUCCUUGGCGGCGGCGGCCCCCGAGACCCCUGCCCUCUGACGGGAAUGGUGGCGCUCUCGGCUCGCAGAUCUGUGAAGUCGGCCCCAUGCCACCAUCGGGUAAGGGCGAGACCCAGAUUGGGGGCCCAAUCCACCGUCGGCCGCCGCCAUGGAACCGACGCGGCCCAUUCCUCCUCCGCCACCACGGCAAGCGGCGGCGGCCGCGGCGGCGCCGGCACCCUCGACGGGUCAAUUGCUGGAUUUGCUGGUUUUGCUAUUGAGUAUAAUUGUCUGAUAUUGCUCUUGUUAGUUUUGUAGCUGAUAAAAAUUCUCGAUAUGAUGUGACCUUGAGGCCUUCAAAUAUUUAUUCUAAAAAUUUAUGCAAUGAUUUAAAUAUCUCAGCUGGUAAUUCUUUGACAAUGUCUACUAUCAAGAUUUGUUCAUUCUUAUUUGAUUUGAAGAAAAAUAAUAUGAAGGAAGAAUUCGUUAUGCCAUGGUGCAAGAAAUUAAUUGUGGGAGCUCAUUUUCACAGCAAGCAAGAGAAAGUUCCGGCCAAGGAAAACUCAACGUGAGGCCCUCAUGCUAUUAUGUUAACUAAUUCAGUUUGUUAAUUGAAAGCAUUAGCAAGCUUGCCGUAUUAUUUUAAUAUAUACUCCUGGACGUGAGUCUCUAUUUGGUAGAGUGCAGCUUGGGUUGUAUUCGAUUUUGUAUAUGUGGUCAAGUCCAAGUCCUUUUCUUUUUUUUGUUUUGCUGCCUGCGUACACUUUCCUCUAUACUGGAGCCCAAUUGGUUUAGUGGGUCAAGUCAGGCCUAUAGUACUAGUUUAUCCAAGCCCAAUUCAAGUCAUGCUCCUGCGUGCGUAUAUUUGGCGACGAGAUGGCCCUGUAUCAAGGGACGGGUUCCUUUUUGUUGACGGUGUCUUCGUCGAGGGUCUGCCUCCGGUCCUGAGCAAGAGCACUGGCGGCCUUCUUUCAUCUACCUGCCAUCCUUCCAGAUUGUGACUGAGUGCGUGAUCAGGAAUUGUUUCCUAGGUGCGCUGCUCCGGAUUUCUUCAGUGGAUCCCCAUCUUCUAAUCGUGUCUUCGUGCACAGGUGGAAGAAAUUAUCUAGGGUUUGGCUUGAUAUCACUGUAAGCUGAACUCCAUCUAUUAUUUCUGCUACUUCGAUUGGAUUUCUUGGAACUUGUAAUCAGCUUGUUACACAUAUCGUCUCUGUUGCCUGAGCUUAAUUAUACGGCUGCUAUUGCUAGUUGAGACAUUAAAAUACAAGAGAAUUCUAUACUAUAUAUCUUUGGAUCUGUGAUUGGUUGUUGGGAUAAACUAAUACCAACUUAAUUGCUGUGACUGCAAAACUGCUGAUUGAUUUCGAUUUACCGUGAAAGAUUGGGCCAAAUAUUCGGGCAUCGUAUUCGUGUCUUUAUCACGAUAAUUAGAGGAAAUGUGGCAUUAUAAAGAUUGCUGGACUUGUAAGAAAUAAGGUAACCCUCCUUUUUCAUCAUUCAACUUUACUUAUCUCCCUAGAUAUUAUCCUUAAUUAACUCAGUGUCAAGAGGUGCUUCUCUUUGUGCUAGGAAAUAUAUACCCCUGGAAGAACAAUGUAAAUACCAUGUUUGUGUAAAUGCUAAUUUUGUUUGCUUCAUACUGCUAGUAACAUAGAAAGUUUGAAGUUGAAAUAAAAAGAAGCAUGGAAUUAAAUCUAUCUUUCCAGUCUUCCAGCUUGUAGGUCUCCUCGGCAUCGGUAGAUUUGUAGCCAUGACUACCUUUUUCCUUGUUCCACGGAUAGUCAACAAUUGUGACCGCUAGUUUGAGCCUAAAAUUAGUAAUAUCCUUCUGCGCAUUACCAAUAGAAAUAGUGGUUAAUUUAUAGUGUAAGAUGGGGCAUAGAUUGGUACAUGUUAUUUGAACAUUGAAAGGUACCUGGGUGAAUAUGGUGGACAAUCUACUUCCUGUCCAAAGCUCCAUGAAUUUCAGUACGAAUAGCCCACAUGACGAACUGUGAGAGUAGUUUUUAUUUUUUGAGUUAGGAAAUAGCAAUGUAACAUCUGAUUUGUUUGCCGAAUUGAAAAUGCGCAGCCUACUCGUUGGUCUGUAUUCUCCUGUUGAUGCAUUCAAUGACAUGCCACUCUUUGAUCUUAACAUCCUGCCACUUUGUUUGUGUCUCCAUCUUUAGUUUCUCUAGAUGCUUGAUACGGUUUUGCAGCCCUUUCACCUAAGAACAUUGAGAUCAUCAACAGUUGAGGGAAAGUGUUUUUAGUUUGCUAGUAAGUAUUGCCAAUAGAUUUUAGAUUUAUUUUUCUAUGUGUAUUUUUCGAACAAACCAGGUACAUACUUUUGUGGAGGUUCCUUUAUUUCAUCGCCUUGGGCUAGAAGGCCGUGUAUAUGAUGAACAUCUUUUAUACUUGAGUCUUUCCAUUUAUGAUGAACUCUUCAGUGUCGAUGUUAAAACUGUCGGCAAUGUCCUUGCAUAGAUCUCUUCUAAUUUAGUCUCUUUCAAAUUUAGUAAAGAACCAAAACCUGCUUUAUUAACGGCAUCCUUUUGAUCUAGGCUGAACCGGUUCAUUAUCUGGACUAGUAAUUUCUGUGAGCAUUACAUGUUCCCUGCAUUACGAAAGGAUAUUGCGUGCGGUCAGAAACACAUGGAUUCAUUUGGUGAAAGUAAUACUCACACGGCCUCUUGAUGUGUUCUUGCUACCUGGCGAGGUGGCUCAAACCUAGUCCUGUUUGUUGUGGUCGGCACUGGUGGAGUCUACGAAUUUUUUGCCAUCAAAGUGUGUCAAUUUAAACUUUGAAAUCAAGAAUUCAUCCAUACUGAUCUUGUAAUGCAACGUAAAAGUGUACUUACAGACGAUGUAGUUGUAUUCUGAUUUGCUGCUUCCAUCGGCACGUUUGAUUGUUGCAUCUUCAAGCAAUGCUUCAAGGUUGACUGUGUCCUC